AAUGAACGCUGGCGGCAGGCCUAACACAUGCAAGUCGAACGGAUCCUUCGGGAUUAGUGGCGGACGGGUGAGUAACGCGUGGGAACAUACCCUUUGGUACGGAAUAGCCUCGGAAACUGGGAGUAAUACCGUAUGUGGUCGAGAGACGAAAGACUUAUCGCCAAAGGAUUGGCCCGCGUUGGAUUAGGUAGUUGGUGGGGUAAUGGCCUACCAAGCCGACGAUCCAUAGCUGGUUUGAGAGGAUGAUCAGCCACACUGGGACUGAGACACGGCCCAGACUCCUACGGGAGGCAGCAGUGGGGAAUCUUAGACAAUGGGGGAACCCUGAUCUAGCCAUGCCGCGUGAUCGAUGAAGGCCUUAGGGUUGUAAAGAUCUUUCAGGUGGGAAGAUAAUGACUGUACCACCAGAAGAAGCCCCGGCUAACUCCGUGCCAGCCGCCGCCGUAA
rnacentral:rRNA from 1 species